rnacentral:rRNA from 1 species
GACGAACGCUGGCGGCGUGCUUAACACAUGCAAGUCGAACGGUAAGGCCCUUCGGGGUACACGAGUGGCGAACGGGUGAGUAACACGUGGGUGAUCUGCCCUGCACUUCGGGAUAAGCCUGGGAAACUGGGUCUAAUACCGGAUAGGACUCCGGACUGCAUGGUCUGGGGUGGAAAGCUUUUGCGGUGUGGGAUGGGCCCGCGGCCUAUCAGCUUGUUGGUGGGGUGAUGGCCUACCAAGGCGACGACGGGUAGCCGGCCUGAGAGGGUGACCGGCCACACUGGGACUGAGAUACGGCCCAGACUCCUACGGGAGGCAGCAGUGGGGAAUAUUGCACAAUGGGCGCAAGCCUGAUGCAGCGACGCCGCGUGAGGGAUGACGGCCUUCGGGUUGUAAACCACUUUCGGCACAGACGAAGCGCAAGUGACGGUAUGUGCAGAAGAAGGACCGGCCAACUACGUGCCAGCAGCCGCGGUAA